rnacentral:rRNA from 1 species
CAUUAGCUAGUUGGUGGGGUAAAGGCCCACCAAGGCUACGAUGGUUAGCCGGCCUGAGAGGGUGAUCGGCCACAUUGGGACUGAGAUACGGCCCAGACUCCUACGGGAGGCAGCAGUAGGGAAUAUUGCACAAUGGGCGAAAGCCUGAUGCAGCAACGCCGCGUGAGUGAAGAAGUACUUCGGUAUGUAAAGCUCUGUCUUUGGGGACGAUAAUGACGGUACCCAAGGAGGAAGCCACGGCUAACUACGUGCCAGCAGCCGCGGUAAUACGUAGGUGGCGAGCGUUGUCCGGAAUUACUGGGCGUAAAGGAUGCGUAGGUGGACUUUUAAGUCAGAUGUGAAAUCCCCGGGCUUAACCUGGGGGCUGCAUUUGAAACUGGAGGUCUGGAGUGCAGGAGAGGUAAGUGGAAUUCCUAGUGUAGCGGUGAAAUGCGUAGAUAUUAGGAAGAACACCAGUGGCGAAGGCGACUUACUGGACUGUAACUGACACUGAGGCAUGAAAGCGUGGGGAGCAAACAGGAUUAGAUACCCUGGUAGUCCACGCUGUAAACGAUGGGUACUAGGUGUGGGAGGUAUCGACUCCUUCCGUGCCGCCGUUAACACAAUAAGUACCCCGCCUGGGGAGUACGGUCGCAAGAUUA